UACGAAGGGUGCAAACGUUGCUCGGAAUUACUGGGCGUAAAGCGCGCGCAGGCGGUCGGUCGCAUCGGCGGUGAAAGCCCCCCGCUCAACGGGGGAGGGUCCGUCGAGAUGGGCCGACUGGAGGCGAGGAGAGGGCGGUGGAAUUCCGGGUGUAGUGGUGAAAUGCGUAGAUAUCCGGAGGAACACCAGUGGCGAAGGCGGCCGCCUGGACUCGACCUGACGCUGAGGCGCGAAGGCGCGGGGAGCGAACGGG
rnacentral:rRNA from 1 species